rnacentral:misc_RNA from 1 species
CAAAAAACAGACCAAUUGACUCCAAAGGGAAAAGGGGGCAUAAAGUGUUGGUUCUAAAUGACGUCGACAAACUAUCAAGAGAGGCCCAACACUCUCUUAGGAGAACAAUGGAGAAAUAUAGCUCGUACUGUAGGUUAAUACUUUGCUGCAAUAGUUCAUCAAGAGUUACUGAAGCAAUCCGUUCUCGCUGCCUAAAUGUGCGGAUAAAUGGACCAACAGAGGAGCAGAUUGUCAGGGUACUUGAGUUCAUUGGCAAGAAAGAAGGACUGCAACUUCCAUCUGGAUUUGCUUCCCGUAUUGCAGAAAAAUCAAAUCGGAGUUUGAGGAGAGCUAUACUAUCAUUCGAGACUUGUCGUGUUCAACAGUAUCCUUUUGUCAGUACCCAGGCAAUUCCACCGAUGGAUUGGGAGGAGUACAUCACUGAGAUAGCAUCUGACAUAAUGAAGGAGCAGAGUCCCAAGAGACUAUUCCAGGUUCGUGGGAAGGUAUAUGAGCUACUGGUUAAUUGUAUCCCACCGGAGAUCAUAUUGAAGAGGCUGCUUUAUGAGCUACUCAAGAAAUUGGAUGCUGAAUUAAAGCAUGAGGUCUGUCAUUG